rnacentral:rRNA from 1 species
AGUGAAUAGAUACCCGGGUAGUCCCAGCCGUAAACGAUGCUCGCUAGGUGUCAGGCAUGGCGCGACCGUGUCUGGUGCCGCAGGGAAGCCGUGAAGCGAGCCACCUGGGAAGUACGGCCGCAAGGCUGAAACUUAAAGGAAUUGGCGGGGGAGCACAACAACGGGUGGAGCCUGCGGUUUAAUUGGACUCAACGCCGGACAACUCACCGGGGGCGACAGCAAUAUGUAGGCCAAGCUGAAGACUUUGCCUGAAUCGCUGAGAGGAGGUGCAUGGCCGUCGCCAGUUCGUACUGUGAAGCAUCCUGUUAAGUCAGGCAACGAGCGAGACCCGUGCCCACUGUUACCAGCAUGUCCUCCGGGACGAUGGGUACUCUGUGGGGACCGCCGAUGUUAAAUCGGAGGAAGGUGCGGGCCACGGUAGGUCAGUAUGCCCCGGAAUCUCCCGGGCUACACGCGGGCUACAAUGGAUGGGACAAUGGGUCCCUCCCCUGAAAACGGGCUGGUAAUCUCACAAACCCAUUCGUAGUUCGGAUCGAGGGCUGUAAC